GGGGAAUAUUGCACAAUGGAGGAAACUCUGAUGCAGCAACGCCGCGUGAGUGAUGAAGGUCUUCGGAUUGUAAAGCUCUGUCUUCUGGGACGAUAAUGACGGUACCCGGCCAGAAAGCCACGGCUAACUACGUGCCAGCAGCCGCGGUAAUACGUAGGUGGCAAGCGUUGUCCGGAUUUACUGGGCGUAAAGGAUGUGUAGGCGGAUAUUUAAGUGAGAUGUGAAAUCCCCGGGCUUAACUUGGGGGCUGCAUUUCAAACUGGAUGUCUAGAGUGCAGGAGAGGAAAGCAGAAUUCCUAGUGUAGCGGUGAAAUGCGUAGAGAUUAGGAAGAAUACCAGUGGCGAAGGCGGCUUUCUGGACUGUAACUGACGCUGAGGCAUGAAAGCGUGGGGAGCAAAC
rnacentral:rRNA from 1 species